UACGGGGCGCAGCAGGCGCGAAACCUCCGCUAUGCGCGAAAGCGCGACGGGGCCACUCCGAGUGCCGCCUGCUGAGGGCGGCUUUUGCCCAGUCCAAAAGGCUGGGCGAAUAAGGGGAGGGCAAGAUUGGUGUCAGCCGCCGCGGUAAUACCAACUCCCCGAGUGGUCGGGACGAUUAUUGGGCUUAAAGCGUCCGUAGCCGGUCGGGUGUGUCGUCGGUCAAAUCCGACGUCUCAAGCGUCGGACUGCCGGCGAUACUACCCGGCUAGGGAGCGGGAGAGGCGGCCGGUAUUCCCGGGGUAGGGGUAAAAUCCUCAGAUCCCGGGAGGACCAUCGGUGGCGAAGGCGGGCCGCUAGAACGCGUCCGACGGUGAGGGACGAAAGCUGGGGGAGCGAUCCGGAUUAGAUACCCGGGUAGUCCCAGCUGUAAACGAUGCAGGCUAG
rnacentral:rRNA from 1 species